rnacentral:lncRNA from 1 species
ACAAAAAAUGCAAUAGGAUCACCCUUCAGAUCAUUUCUUUUUUACGAAUAGUUUGAACUGUAUAGUUUAAUGGAUUAAUUGAUUGUUUUCCUAAUAGUCUGUGAAGUGUUAUGAAGAGGCCCAGAAUGAGAAAACGGUGGCGGGAAACAGAUUUAUAGAGGUCGCUUGAAUUAAUGAUAUGGCAAUCAGAAGAUAACACAGGUGCAUUAAUGUAACAUACUGUGUAAUUACCAGUGUUUCCAAUGGUGUUAAUGUGUAGUUACCCACAUAAUAACGGACAUUAUUUCAUAGAAGAUAUGCAAUUAGCUCGUGUCAUUGGUGUGUAGUACACAAAUGAAGCAAAUCAUUAUUGUUGUUUUAACACUAAAAGAUGAGGACGUUUUGAGGGCCAAUGGGGCUCCUUAUCACACAGAUCAUCUUUUUAACUUUGUCUAACUCAUACGCUCAGCAAGUAAUUGUGAACGAUACUAAGAGUCCAAGGCUUCUGUAUCUAUGCAGGUACUGAGAUGUUCGCAUUGAAGAAAGUUGUACUUGAGGAAUGCGAUUGAAAUCAUAUGAACAAAUUUGUUUGGAAGUGCAAACAUCAAUAACCAAAAGUUAUCGUGCUAUCAUUGAAAGGUCAUCGGUGCCAGGUGGCAGAUUGUACCCGGGAAGUCUUCCCGUAUCUCAGGCCAAAGACUGGUAGUCUCCCUGGGCAACGCCGAGAUAACACAUGUCAAGAGGCAGCAGUGGCUGGUAAGCCAAGUCAUCACUUACCUCGUCCCACCGCCCCGCCCGGCCCCCUCUGGUUGCAGCCUUUUCCUUGCCAUUCCAGAAGCCACAGACCUUCCCGGUUGGACUAGGAGGGAAGGGAGAGGAGAUGGGGAAUGCAUAACACAUGCCGCAAGAGGGAUUUGGUGAGGCAGGAGCCAGCAGGUGAACAAUGACUCAUUUGGAAAUGUGCAGCUGGGUGUGUGUAAUUUGCAUAUCAGGGACCCUUUGUUAAAGUGGCUUGCCCAGCUGUGUGGGCGCAUUGGUGGCGGGCGGGUGCUGGUCUGAGGCAGGAGAUGAAUCCUCACAGAGACCACAGUCACUUCCUAUGUAAUUUGUGCACAAGUUGAGGGAAGGCACUCUCAUCGGGGACCUGCUGCAGAAAAGCUGCCUGGCUCUGAGAUUUAUUUUCCUUCUGCCAAGUAUAUUAUUUCCAAACUCGCCUUUUCAAGAUC